rnacentral:tRNA from 1 species
GCACUGGUGGUUCAGUAGCAGAAUUCUCGCCUUCCACGCACAAGGCCCAGGUUUGAUUCCUGGUCGAUGCA